ensembl:misc_RNA Metazoa_SRP Metazoan signal recognition particle RNA
GCUGGGCAUGGUGGCUCAUGCCUGUAAUCCCAGCACUUUGGGAGGCUGAGGUAGGAGGAUCACCUGAGGUCAGGAGUUCAAGACCAGCCUGGCCAAUAUGGUGAAACCCUGUCUCAC